CCUACGGGUGGCAGCAGUGGGGAAUAUUGCACAAUGGGCGAAAGCCUGAUGCAGCAACGCCGCGUGAAGGAAGAAGGGUUUCGGCUCGUAAACUUCUAUCAACAGGGACGAAAGAAAUGACGGUACCUGAAUAAGAAGCCCCGGCUAACUACGAGCCAGAAGCCGCGGGAAUACGUAGGGGGCAAGCGUGAUCCGGAAUUACUGGGUGUAAAGGGUGCGUAGGCGGCAUGGUAAGCCAGAUGUGAAAGCCUUGGGCUUAACCCGAGGAUUGCAAUUGGGACUCUCAAGCUAGAGUACAGGAGAGGACCGCGUAAUUCCUAGUGUAGCGGUGAAAUGCGUAGAUAUUAGGAAGAACACCAGUGGCGAAGGCGGCUUUCUGGACUGAAACUGACGCUGCGGCUCGCAAGCGUGGGGAGCGCACAGGAUUAGAUACCCUUAGUC
rnacentral:rRNA from 1 species